CGUAGGCGGUCAGCACAAGUCAGUUGUGAAAUCUCCGGGCUUAACUCGGAAAGGUCAACUGAUACUGUGCGACUAGAGUGCAGAAGGGGCAACUGGAAUUCUCGGUGUAGCGGUGAAAUGCGUAGAUAUCGAGAGGAACACCUGCGGCGAAGGCGGGUUGCUGGGCUGACACUGACGCUGAGGCGCGAAAGCCAGGGGAGCGAACG
rnacentral:rRNA from 1 species